UGCCAACGUUAAUGUAAACUCACUUGGCAAUGCUUAUUCCCUUCUGACUUUAUUUAACAGCUUUGAGCAGCUGCCCUGGAACCUGGAAUCUGCUACGAGUGGACAACCAACUCCCUAGUUAAAAAAAUUAAAGGAGAGAAAAAACCCUUCUCGGCCGCCGCUCUUGAGAGCACAGGGAUGUAGAGUUUGUCUGCACUGGCGAGCAGCUUUCUCUAGGGGGGUAUGAAACAUGCUGGAGCCCAUUAGGAGUCGACGGCCACCAUGUUAAGCAUGCGGAAGGUGGCCUCCUCCCUAAUGAUGUAAAUGCUUGCCGACAGCAUCCCCGCACACAGCUUGCAUGAUGAAUCACACAGUCCGGGUAAACGGUCCGGUCUGGCACUGUGCCAGCUUGCCAGCAUGCUAUUUUCUGCAAAGACUGCCAGGCUGCGUCCCGUUAAAUGCCCAUUGACGCAGAAUGGAACAAGGAUAAGCGGUUUGACAAUGGAUGGAUGGAUGGAUGAAAAUUUUCUCAAAAUGCAUGUUUAAAUAUGGAAAUGAGCA